AGAGUUUGAUCAUGGCUCAGGAUGAACGCUGGCGGCAUGCCUAAGACAUGCAAGUCGUACGAAGUGGCCCAUUGAAGAUUGAGUGCUUGCACAAUUUCGGAUUUGGAUUUCCACUUAGUGGCAGACGGGUGAGUAACACGUGGGUAACCUACCCCAGGGACUGGGAUAACUAUUGGAAACGAUAGCUAAUACCGGAUGAUUCAUAAUUAGAUAACUUUUUAUGCUAAAAGGAGCUUCGGCUUCACCUUGGGAUGGGCUUGCGUUGUAUUAGCUAGUUGGUAGGGUAAUGGCCUACCAAGGCAACGAUGCAUAUCCGAACUGAGAGGUUGAUCGGACACAUUGGGACUGAGACACGGCCCAA
rnacentral:rRNA from 1 species